UAACACUUAAGGCUAUCCUCAACCAGGAG
rnacentral:piRNA from 1 species